CAAGCUGAGUUAAAAUAUAAUUUAAUUUGAUGUUGCAAAUCUUUAAAAUAUACGAUAGUCUCUUGUUUGAAGUAACCCCUGAGCAAAAAUGGCCAAAUUUAAAAGAGUUCCUGGGUAGCCAAUCACUAAAAAUUUCUGACGUGAAACUUCGAUUAGAAGUAUACCGUUGGGAAGUGGAUAAAUGAUGAAGAUUUAUUUUUAUAAAAACCAAAAAAAAUUGACCUCCUGAAACAUUCAGGGCUCCUGACGAAAAUUUAGGGAAAUGAGUUGUCAACACCUUCUCAUAUUUUUCCUUCAUAUUUUCGAUUUCCAUUUUAACUCAUUAGGGAUGGCUGGAUUUUGUUCAUUUCUGUCUUUUUCAGUCCUAUCUCCCAGCCAUCACCUACAAUCACCCAUUACUUUAAUUACUGAACUUGCAUCUGAUAGCUCCACUGAUUACAGCCAGCCAAUAGCGUGUAGACUUGUUGUCUCACCACCUGUGACGUCAGCAAGUCUAUAAAAGCUUGCGCUGCCCUAAAAUCAAGGUCCUUUUACCAUCUUGACCCGUACAUGUACGUAGUGCCCUUUUUCGCCCUUUUGGCACAUUUUUAGUGACUAAUUUCAAUCUUGUAAUUCUGUAACUUUUUCUCUCUUUCGAUCAAUACAUUCCAAAUUCCAUCUCCAACAUUUCGUUAUUCAAUUAUUUCCGCGUAGUUUGUUGUUCCUACUCAAAGAGCAACUGGUGCCGAACGGAUAUUCCAACCUUCUCUUAUGACAUAAGUUUUUUUUGAGAAACUGUUUGUGGCAACGAGCAUCCUCAUCUCUCAAACCCCACUUCCAGAGCCACAUCUUUGAAUGGAUUCAUCAAAUCUUGAAAACUGUUUAACUUAUGAUUUUGAUCAUGACUCCUUUUCUAGAUGAAACCUCUCUUCGUAAAACUUGCAGAUGUAAGUAAUGGCUUCUAAGACUUUAAGAAAAGGGAAGCAUAAUUCAACAGACUCUAGGUGAAACAUUCACCCUUCAGGUAUUUGUCAUAGGAUUCACAGGCAACAGCAGGAAAAUGACAACGCGGUGACACACUGUCAGUGAAGAAUUUGUACGCUCUGCGGUGGUUGCACAAGCUUCGUCCGUAUACUUCUGAGGCAGCUAAAAACCAAAAUAAAUCGAAUAUAUUAUAAAAUAAAUAAAUAAUAAAUAGAUUCAGGAUUACCACUGCAUGUGUCCCCUCUCACGGUCAAAUCUUUUCAGAGAUUCUUCGAGGUUUAUAUAGUAGAUAUAAAAUCGUCCUAAAUGUUUAUUACAUACGCCUAAAUGUCAAGAAUAAGUUACUUGAAGAGCACACAUCUACUGUUGCACAACAAAAAUUUUCUUCAAAUUUCAUCAAAUAUUUCAUCAAUUUUAACGAAUGUAGACUAUCAAAAUAAAGCUUGUAAGCUCUGAAUUGUCCAAAUUUCCCAUCAUCUACCAGCCACCGGCUACAUAGGUUUAAAUAAUCUAAUGUUCAUUGUAUGUAAGAAAAUAUCCAAGAAAAAUAAAAGGAAGAAUUCGAAAAUUA